UACGGAGGGGGCGAGCGUUAUUCGGAAUUAUUGGGCGUAAAGAGCUCGUAGGCGGCUUGUUGCGUCGUCUGUGAAAUCCCGCGGCUCAACCGCGGGUCUGCAGUCGAUACGGGCAGGCUAGAGUUCGGUAGGGGAGACUGGAAUUCCUGGUGUAGCGGUGAAAUGCGCAGAUAUCAGGAGGAACACCGGUGGCGAAGGCGGGUCUCUGGGCCGAUACUGACGCUGAGGAGCGAAAGCGUGGGGAGCGAACAGG
rnacentral:rRNA from 1 species